rnacentral:rRNA from 1 species
CAGCCGCCGCGGUAAUACGGAGGGGGCUAGCGUUGUUCGGAAUUACUGGGCGUAAAGCGCACGUAGGCGGCUGUGUAAGUCAGGGGUGAAAGCCCGGGGCUCAACCCCGGAAUAGCCUUUGAGACUGCAUAGCUUGAACACGGGAGAGGUGAGUGGAAUUCCGAGUGUAGAGGUGAAAUUCGUAGAUAUUCGGAAGAACACCAGUGGCGAAGGCGGCUCACUGGACCGUUGUUGACGCUGAGGUGCGAAAGCGUGGGGAGCAAACAGGAUUAGAUCCCCCCGUAGUCCCUGUCUCUUAUAC